CUUUUUGCUGUCAAUCGAUUUCCUACCUGACUGUGAAUGCGACCAAUAUUAUUCAGUUUGUUUCUGGAGCCCAAACAGGAAUCACCUCCGGACUGAAGCUCCAAAUUCUCUGUGAUUUUUCGGUUUACUAAAAAAUUUUAAUUUUCCGGCUAGGCUUAAGAAUAAAGUGAAUUAUAUUUUAAGCAUAAAACCAAGACAAAACACCAUAAACAUCCUUAUACUCGCGAAUUAUAUUUAAAGCAUAUAACUCGAGAUAAACAACCAGUUGACCAGAUAAAUACAACAUAAGAUUAUACACGUAAUUGCUUCGGAGAAGUUGGCAUCUCGUGAAGCGGUUCAAUACACCCUAGGUUUAAGUGAUUUUUGCUCUACACUCUGGAACAACCAUAUGACUAAUCUUCGUACACUACUGAGUAACCUGAUGCAAGAAUUAUACUUUUAGUAUAAAACCCAAACUGAACGAGUUGACCAGAUAAAUACAACAUAAACUUAUACACGGGGAAGGUGGCAUCUCGUAAAGCGGUUCAAUUCACCCACAUGACUUAUCUUCGUACACUUCUGAGUAACCUGGUGCAAGGUCCCCUCUCUCUCCUGUAGUCUAUUGAUCAAAAAUGGCACAUUUAAGACUUAAUUACUGGAUUCUUGGAAACGUUACUGUUUAAUCACACUUCUCAAUCCUCGCUUGUUGGAUCUCACUGGAGAAAUAUAUAAUACUAAAAUGUUUGAUGCUAUAAUAAAUGUACACUUAUACA